rnacentral:rRNA from 1 species
GCAUACUGGGAUGCAACUGACGCUGAGGCACGAAAGUGUGGGUAUCAAACAGGAUUAGAUACCCUGGUAGUCCACACAGUAAACGAUGAUUACUGACUGUUUGCGAUAUACAGUAAGCGGUUAAGCGAAAGCGUUAAGUAAUCCACCUGGGGAGUACGUCGGCAACGAUGAAACUCAAAGGAAUUGACGGGGGCCCGCACAAGCGGAGGAACAUGUGGUUUAAUUCGAUGAUACGCGAGGAACCUUACCCGGGCUUGAAAUGCGCAGGAAUAAUUUGGAAACAGGUUAGUCAGCAAUGACCUGCGUGUAGGUGCUGCAUGGUUGUCGUCAGCUCGUGCCGUGAGGUGUCGGCUUAAGUGCCAUAACGAGCGCAACCCUUGCCGUUAGUUGCCAUCGUGUAAAGAUGGGAACUCUAACGGGACUGCCAUCGUAAGAUGUGAGGAAGGUGGGGAUGACGUCAAAUCAGCACGGCCCUUACGUCCGGGGCGACACACGUGUUACAAUGGGGGGUACAGAGGGCAGCGAGCAGGCGACUGUAAGCGAAUCUCAUAAAACCCUUCUCAGUUCGGAUAGGAGUCUGCAACCCGACUCCUUGAAGCUGGAUUCGCUAGUAAUCGCGCAUCAGCCAUGGCGCGGUGAAUACGUUCCCGGGCCUUGUACACACCGCCCGUCAAGCCAUGGAAGUUGGGGGUACCUGAAGUACGUGAGCGCAAGCAGCGUCCUAGGGUAAAACUGAUGACUGGGGCUAAGUCGUAACAAGGUAACCGUAA